rnacentral:lncRNA from 1 species
AUAAUGCCUACAAGAGAGUCCCAGAAUUCUAAUAUAGUUAAAAUCCUGAGCCCAUAGAUGAAGAAAACAUUAUACACUCUCCCCUUAACCUCCCCAGGCUUGUUCUCAAGUUUUCUGUUAAACCCUGAGUACCCACGGAUGAGAAGAUAAUGCUUCUUAAACAUUUAAAAGUAAAACUUUGUAUGUGCCAGUAAUAAUAAUAAAAAUAGUGUAUUCUCAAAACAAGAAGACAGUUGUGAUGGUAAGGAAUGGGGAUGCUUAUGGAUUCAGUGAAGGGAAAGCCAGGAAGAGUCCAGAUGGAUUAGAUGCCGAGCAUGAGAAGUCUCCGAUGGGACAAGCAGAAGGACCGAGAGGCCAGCAGUUGAAGUAGGAGAAGAGUAUGCAUGUGGUUUGGGUUGGGUCUUUUAUUUUUGAGCAAGAAAGUCGAGUUUGGAACAUGCUAAGUGUGAGUUAUACAAUUCUAUCUAGGAAAAGAUGCUGAGUAGCUUAGCUGAAUGUGCAGGUGCGUUCAGGAGAGAUGCUUGACUAGAAACAUUACGCAGAAGUUGGCAUCCUUACAUCUCCUGCACUGUCUGUAGUUGAAGCGCUUUAUCUUCACACCUCCUCAUGCGGUAGCCACAGUGCUGAGGAGGCUUAGCUUCCUCGUGAGAGCUGCUCUGAGGGGAAACUCUUACAGUCUUUCCUUUAGGUGGACCUCGGUCUCUGUCUGUUUCCCUAAGGCUGGAGGCUUUGAAGACCUCAUCUCAUACUCCGAAAGAGCAGCCGUUCCCUGCACCCAUCCCUUGCGGCCAUUUCAGAGGUUCUUUUCGUUGCCACCAGCUUACCUAAUCUCAUUCCCUCUUUUUUAAGCUUUCCAAAAGAUUUUUAAAAUAUUCUGUUCCAGGGUUGGGUCCAAAUAACUGCAUCUGUAUAGUCCUGGAAAUGAAUUGUCUCACUUAUUUUUCUUUAGGCUGAAAGACAAAAAAAGAAAAACCACUCAAGUUAGUAAUGAUACAUGUCAAUCACUUACCUCCUUUAAGCCCUGGCGGCUUUGCACCGUGGUCCUAGGCUUGCCUAAGAGUCGGAGACCAACCUGGGGAAUAGGGAGCCGCCUUUAAAAACGAUACUAGCAGCAAAUUCCCAUACCUCUCUAUUUUGUCUGCAUGCAAAUAUAUUAAAAAUAGUAAAAUGUUUUUAAGAUUAAACAAAAUUACUUUUUUUUUCCUGGUUGCUAUAGGACUGGCUGCCCCAGUGCCUGGAAUCUGAGGGAAAAUGGCAAGUGUGGAUGGUGAUUCCAGGCAUCUUCUCUCUGAGGUGGAACAUGAAGUAAGCCCUGGGCCUAUGAACAUCCAGUUUGAUUCAUCAGAUCUGAGAUCUAAAAGGUGAGGUCUUAAUGUGCUCACUUCAUACCUAGGGCUUCUAGCAAUUAAGAUAUAAUACAGUACAGCCCAAAAGAUCAAUAGAAUCGAUAAUGAAAUCAUCAUUUUCUUACAGGACUCAUACCCUGAUGUGUGUGCAUAUGAGUCCUGUUUCCUCACUUGCACAUUUUUGUGUCUUGGAAUAAACGAGUCUGUUAAGCAAAGGGCUGGGUUUUGUCAAGGAGGGCGCAUGUAUGUAAGGGACUCGGAUGCCUGUUGGUUGCCCGCUUCGUGCAGAGUAAUCUGAUACUACAGAUAGAAAAGGAAUAGGCCUUUGCCUUCACUGAGCUACAAUGACAGCGGGUAACUUAAAAUCACUUGAGAUUAAAUAAUCUUUCAGUUUAUGACUGGAAACCUCAAGAGAAUCUCCU